rnacentral:rRNA from 1 species
GCCGGCAGCUAGCUCUCUGUAACUCUCACAUGGUCACCCACUGAAGCUUAGCAGGGCUGCCCCUGAUCAGUACCUGGAUGGGAGAUCACAUGGAAAAGCUAGGUUGCUGCCAGAA